rnacentral:rRNA from 1 species
UGAGGAAUAUUGCACAAUGGGCGAAAGCCUGAUGCAGCAACGCCGCGUGAGGGACGAAGGCCUUCGGGUCGUAAACCUCUUUUCUGGGGGACGAGUAAGGACGGUACCUCAGGAAUAAGUCUCGGCUAACUACGUGCCAGCAGCCGCGGUAAAACGUAGGAGGCGAGCGUUAUCCGGAUUUACUGGGCGUAAAGCGUACGCAGGUGGCUUCGUGAGUCGGACAUGAAAGCUCCCGGCUUAACUGGGAGAGAUUGUUCGAUACUGCGGGGCUUGAGGUUGGGAGAGGGACGUGGAAUUCCCGGUGUAGUGGUGGAAUGCGUAGAUAUCGGGAGGAACACCAGUGGCGCAAGCGGCGUCCUGGCCCACACCUGACGCUGAGGUACGAAAGCGUGGGUAGCAAACAG